UACGUAGGGUGCGAGCGUUAAUCGGAAUUACUGGGCGUAAAGGGUGCGCAGGCGGUUAUAUAAGACAGAUGUGAAAUCCCCGGGCUCAACCUGGGAACUGCGUUUGUGACUGCAUGACUAGAGUACGGCAGAGGGGGGUGGAAUUCCACGUGUAGCAGUGAAAUGCGUAGAGAUGUGGAGGAACACCGAUGGCGAAGGCAGCCCCCUGGGCUAACACUGACGCUCAUGCACGAAAGCGUGGGGAGCAAACAGG
rnacentral:rRNA from 1 species